UUCAGGCCUUUAGCCCUGUGAGCAGGGGACAAACGAGGGGACCUCGAUACCACAGCUCCACGAUCACCACUGACUCCGACUGCAAAUACACUCAUCACCACAAGAUGGCAGCGUUUGUAUCGGAGAUAUUCUGGCUUAAGUUCUAAAGGAAAUGCAGAUGUUGAUCUUUAUUUACAGACGUCGAGCUUUAGGAAGCAGACCAUGUUUCAGACGUCGGUAGAGAAGCAGAGACUUCAGGCUCGAGGCAGCUGUGACAGAAACCUGACGUUUCCUCAUCAGCUGCUGAACAUCCGGCUGUAAAUAAAGAUGGACGCCAUGGCAGCGCCAAACAGUGAAGCCAAAGAGUCCGCCCCCUGGUGGCUGGCAGCGGUAUAGGUCAUAAACCUCCAUUUCAGACGUCAAGACGACGCCAUGAUUACACGGAACCAGACAACGUGACCUGGAACCACAGGCUGUAAAUAAAGAUGGGCGACAUGAUGGCUACCAAAAGUGAAGCCAAACCAUCUGGAUCUCCCCCUGGUGGCUGCCUGCAGCACAGGUCAUAAACCUCCUCCGUGUUAGCAAGUGGGACAUGGUCCAAAAUAAAAAUUCAAAGUAG